rnacentral:lncRNA from 1 species
CUGAAGAUUCGAAGGGUGGGGGGGGGAUCUGAAGAUUCGAAGUGGGAGGGGGGCGCAACGGAGAAGAGAUUGUGGGGGGGGAGAUGGGGGAUUCGAAGGCCCGGGGGAGGAAGAAGGGGAUCUAAAAAGAGGGUUUGAUUUGGAAAAGAGUGGGAUUUAGGAAGAAGCAGAUGGGCUUGUCACCUUGGUCUUUCGCAUGUUUCCAUUUCCAGGAAGAAGCAGAGAGGGAAUGACUGAGAGGAGAGCUCUCGGAGAAGAAGAGAGAAGGAUCGAUUCAAGAAGACUGAAAGGAGAAGAGAGAGGGAUUGACUGAGAGCUCUCGGUGUGCGUGUGUGGUGUGGGUUCUCUCGAACUCUGUGUGCAUGUGUGGUGGCGUGUGUAAGAGUGUAAUGUGAAAAAAUUUAUCUGUGUGUGUGUGGUGGCGUGGCGUGUAAUGUGAAAAAAAAACAUGAAAAUAAUUUAUAGGACGAAUAAAGUGUAAAAUAUUGUACUAAAGUGUAAAAUAUUGUACUAAUUCAUUAUAUAUAAAUGAUUAUGGUGUGUUUAAUCUUGUUUUCAUUAAUUACUACAUAUUUUCUACAGUCACAGUGUUUGCCAGCUCGCUGUAUAAUCAACUUAAAUCAGUUAAAUCCAUCAUGCAAUGCAUUUCCUUCCAAUUUUUUUUAUAAACUAAUAGAUAAUUGACUAAAUAAACAUCCUGCAAAGUUUCAAUAAAAAUUUCCAAGUUUUUCUUACAA